rnacentral:rRNA from 1 species
UACGAAGGGGGCUAGCGUUGUUCGGAAUUACUGGGCGUAAAGGGCGCGUAGGCGGUUUGUCGCGUCUGCCGUGAAAGUCCGGGGCUCAACUCCGGAUCUGCGGUGGGUACGGGCAGACUAGAGUGAUGUAGGGGAGACUGGAAUUCCUGGUGUAGCGGUGAAAUGCGCAGAUAUCAGGAGGAACACCGAUGGCGAAGGCAGGUCUCUGGGCAUUAACUGACGCUGAGGAGCGAAAGCAUGGGGAGCGAACAGG